rnacentral:lncRNA from 1 species
GCUACCUCACCACUAAAAAUUAGCUGGGCAUGGUGGUGGGCACCUGUAGUCCCAGCUACUCAAAAGGCUGAGGUGGAAGGAUUGCGUAAGCCUGGGAGGUCAAGGCUGCAGUGAGUCAUGAUCACACCACUGCACUUCAGCCUGGGCAACAGAGUCGGAACCUGUCUAAAAAAAAAUUCUAAAAUAGAAAGUCCUUUUAAACAAAAGUCUGCAUCAUAUGUAAUUCUAAUUAUUUAUAUAGGAAAAUUACUUUCCAUACAACAAAAGAGUAAAAAUUUAAAGCACUAUCCUUGAUUUUGUAACCUUUUCCCCAAAACUACUGAACAUACCAUCAUCACAAUAUAGUGCAUUUUUAAAAAAGGUUUUUAAUGUUUCCCAGAUUUAAACACUGAAGUCUU